GGGAGUAGAUCGGGUCCUGGUGGCCCGCACGGUCUUCAAAACCGCUUGAGCCGUAGUGAUCCUGCGGCUGGUGGGUUCGAUUCCCACAUACUCCC
rnacentral:tRNA from 24 species